rnacentral:rRNA from 1 species
GUGUCAGCAGCCGCGGUAAGACAGAGGGUGCAAACGUUGCUCGGAAUUACUGGGCGUAAAGCGCGUGUAGGCGGGCCAGCAAGUCAGGCGUGAAAUCCCUAGGCUCAACCUAGGAACUGCACCUGAAACUGCUGGUCUGGAGUAGUGGAGAGGAAAGCAGAAUUCCUGGUGUAGAGGUGAAAUUCGUAGAUAUCAGGAGGAACACCGGUGGCGAAGGCGGCUUUCUGGACACUUACUGACGCUGAGACGCGAAAGCGUGGGGAGCAAACAGGAUUAGAAACCCCCGUAGUCC